UACGUAGGGGGCAAGCGUUGUCCGGAUUUAUUGGGCGUAAAGGGUGCGUAGGCGGCUUUGUAAGUCAGUGGUGAAAUAUGGCAGCUCAACUGUCAGGGUGCCAUUGAUACUGCGGAGCUUGAGUACAGAUGAGGUAGGCGGAAUUGACGGUGUAGCGGUGAAAUGCUUAGAUAUCGUCAAGAACACCGAUAGCGAAGGCAGCUUACUGGGCUGUAACUGACGCUGAGGCACGAAAGUGUGGGGAUCAAACAGG
rnacentral:rRNA from 1 species